AUAAAAAAAUAUAAAAAAAGCAAUCGCGAAGGUAAUAUAUAUGAUUGUGCAUAAUUCAAGAUUGGAGGUUAAGUGUAUGUUUUGGUCGUUUCGGAAGAGAAAAACGUACCGUAACAUAAAGUAUACACAUGCGGAUUAUGCGAAAUAAUUCUUGGGGACCUUGAGGAUGAAGAAACAUGGUCCCAUGAAUGUUUUGCAAAUUAUUCAGAGAUUGUUUUUGAUGUGAAUAGCUUGUAUUUAUAUCCCAAAUGUGAAGAUGGAAGCA